GACGAACGCUGGCGGCGUGCUUAACACAUGCAAGUCGAGCGGUAAGGCCCUUUCGGGGGUACACGAGCGGCGAACGGGUGAGUAACACGUGGGUGACCUGCCCUCAGCUCUGGGAUAAGCCUGGGAAACCGGGUCUAAUACUGGAUAUGACUCCAUGACGCAUGUUGUGGGGUGGAAAGCCUUGUGCGGCUGAGGAUGGGCCCGCGGCCUAUCAGCUUGUUGGUGGGGUGANGGCCUACCAAGGCGACGACGGGUAGCCGGCCUGAGAGGGCGACCGGCCACACUGGGACUGAGACACGGCCCAGACUCCGUACGGGAGGCAGCAGUGGGGAAUCUUGCGCAAGUGGGACGAAAGCCUGACGCAGCGACGCCGCGU
rnacentral:rRNA from 1 species